rnacentral:misc_RNA from 1 species
AGCUAAGGUGAGCUUUUGCAACCUUUUUUUAAACUUUUCGAACUUCAAUAAUACUUAAGAAAUAGUGUUGCUGGCAGCUAAUUUUGCAAGAUUUUUAAGUAUGAUUGUAAGACUUCAAAUUUAGCCCAUCAGAUGCAUUUGCUGUUAUUUUAACUUAUAUAAAAUUUCAAAAUUUGACAUCCUUGUUAUUGGAUGCAGUGAGAUAAGAAAUUGCACAAAUUAUGCUUCCUUCAUCACUUUAUCAAGUGUAGACCUGGAAGCUUCCCUUGUCUUAUCUUCCUGUAAUCAAUCAAUGCACUAUGAAAAAUAUUUACCUACACUUUAGUUAUAGGAUUUCUAAGGAGAAAAUAGAAAGACAACAUUAUCAAGUCACUUUGAAGCAACCGAACAUAAUGUUAUUUUAUCCAUAAACUACUGUAUCUGUGCAUUUACAUUGAUCAUUGAUGCGUCUUCGGAUUUUAAAACCAAUUCAAAAAUAGAAAAGGGAAAAUAAAUCAGAAUGAUGUGUCACUUCUCUUGCAGAAUAAGACUUCAUCAUGCAUUAUGAUGAUGCAAACAAGAUACAGUGAUAGGAUUCCAUACGUAUGUUAUGUAUCAAAAGACGGAGUUGAGAAAAGAAACAGAAAGGGGGGAAGAUUUAGGGAGAAUAUACAGAAGAAGAGUGGUAAUUCUUGUAUUUGAUUCUU